AUUGGUUGCUUAGAGUCCAGAGGUGGCAAAAGCCAUCCACACAAAGGACUGUGCUCUCCCACUUUGCUGAUGGCUAGAGAUGUGCGGGAUGACUGACUGACUCUGCUUGUUACUGAGCUGCUGAGCAGUGCUGGCUUGGCUGCAGCACAUAGAGGGCCUUGGGGGCAGACACAGUGGGACCGGACCAGCUUCACCAGGUUAGCGUUACAUCAG
rnacentral:lncRNA from 1 species